CACCGUGCCAGACGCGGGGGAUAACUCCUUCUAAGGAAGCAGACACCGCAUAUGAUCUGAGGAUGAAAGCGGGGGACCUUCGCGCCUCUUGCGAUUGGAGCGGCCGAUGGGGUUUAGGCCGUUGGUUGGAUAAAAGCUUACCCAGCCGACUAUCUGGAGCUGGUCUGAGAGGACGACCAGCCACACUGGGACUGAGACACGGCCCAGACUCCUACGGGAGGCAGCACUGGGGCACUUUGGACAAUGGGCGAUGGCCUGAUCCAACAAUGUUCCGUGCAUGAUGAAGGCCUUCCGGUUGUAAACUGCUUUUGUACGGAACGAAAAACCUUCUCCUACUACGAGAGGCCCAUGACGGUACCGUAAGAAUAAGCCCCUGCUAACUACGUGCCAGCUGCCGCGGUGCUACCUAUGGUGCGAGCGUUAAUCGGAAUUACUGGGCCGUAAAGCGUGCGCAGGCGGUUAUGUAAGACAGAUGUGAUAUCCCUCGGGCUCAACCUGGGAACUGCUUUUGUGACUGCAUGGCUAGAGUACGGUAGAGGGGGAUGGAAUUCCGCGUGUAGCACUGAAAUGCGCUAGAUAUGCGGAGGAACACCGAUGGGCGAAGGCAAUCCCCUGGACCUGUACUGACGCUCAUGCACAAAAAGCGUGUGGAGCAAACAGGAUUAGAUACCCUGGUAGUCCACGCCCUAAACGAUGUCAACUGGUUGUUGGGAAUUAGUUUUCUCCGUAACGAAGCUAACGCGUGAAUUGACCGCCUGGGGAGUACGGCCGCAAGGUGAAACUCAACGGAAUUGACGGGGACCCGCCCCAUCGGUG
rnacentral:rRNA from 1 species